rnacentral:lncRNA from 1 species
GGGGGUCAGCCAUCCCGGGGGUCAACCGUCCAGGGUCCAGCCAUUGGGGGAUCAUCUAUCCCGGGAGGUCAGCCGUCCCGGGGGUCAACCAUCCCGGGGGUCAUCCAUCCCUCGGCCGGGCAGGCGCCCUGCGGCCCCGGUGGCCUGUGGACAAGGGGGUGGGAGGGGGGGGGAUCCCCGCUCGGUGAGCCGGGGGGCCGGGGCCGGUCCUUUCCCCGGGGGGCAUCGGGGUGCGGGGGUCCGCGCCCUUCACAGGGCCGAGUCCGAGUCGCUGGAGUCGAGGCUGUUGCGCAGCUUGCAGGCGCCCAGCCGGGGGUCGCGGGGGUCGCGGGGGUCCCGCUGCAGGCUGAGGUUCUGGGUGCUGCGCCGCAGGCACUCCAGCGACUGCAGGAAGGACUUCUUGGCUUUCUCCUCCUCCAGGGGCGACACGCCCUCCUCCUCCACCACCUCCUGGAUCUCGUCGAAAGUCACCGGCUGCGUCUUGAAGCGCGCCUGCCGGGCUCGGCGCAGCCUGGCCCGGGCCCGGGGGGGCUGGGCGGGCCGGCCGGGGGGCCCGGGGGGCCCGGGAGGCCCGGGGGGCCCGGGGGGGCCGGGGGGCGCGAAGGCCUCCGCCGCGCAGGCCGGGUGGGGCAUCACCGCCUGGUAGCUGGAGCAGAUGCCCAUCGGCUCGGCCGGCUUGGCCGCCGCCAUGGCCCCGCCGGCUCCCGGACGCCGGGGUUGUCGCCCGGCCCGGGGCCCGGGACCCUCCGGGCGCUCGCCCUUCGCCGUCCGGGGGGCGGGGGGGGAUGGAUGCCCGGGAUCCCCCUCUCCGAUCGGCUUCGGAUCCGGGCUGCCGCCUCUCCGUCGGAGGCCGGCAGAGAAGGGAGGCGGAAUGCGAUGCCCCUCGGAUGCCCGCUGCUGCUCCGAGGAGUCUCCUCGUGCUCCUGCUGCUCCUUCUCCGGCUGCUUCUCCUCCUCCUCCUCCUUCCCCUGCUGCUGCUGCUGCUGCUGCUUCUCCUCCUCCUUCCCCCGCUGCAGCUUCUCCUUCUACUUCUCCCGCUGCUGCUGCUUCUUCUCCUCCUCCUCCUUCUACUUCUCCCGCUUCUCCUCCUCGUCCUUCUCCUGCUGCUGCUUCCUCUGCUUGCCGUCUCCCAACUCGUUCCCGGUGUUAUAUAGCCCUCUCCUGCCCACACAGGAGCAUGCUCAGAUGACAACAAAUUCCAUUUAA